rnacentral:rRNA from 1 species
GACAGGCUAUCUAAGUUACCGUCAUAUUCUUCACUUAUAAAAGCAGUUUACAACCCGAAGGCCUUCAUCCUGCACGCGGCGUUGCUCCAUCAGGCUUUCGCCCAUUGUGGAAGAUUCCUCACUGCUGCCUCCCGUAGGAGUCCCCCCGUGCCCCCGCCCCGCCCGCCGCGCGCGGCGGGGGGGGCGG